rnacentral:rRNA from 1 species
UCCAGAGGUCUCAAGCGUUGUUCGGAUGCAUUGGGCGUAAAGGGUGCGUAGGUGGCGCGCUAAGUCAGGUGUGAAAUCUCGGGGCUUAACUCCGAAACUGCAUUUGAUACUGGCGUGCUUGAGGACUGGAGAGGAGACUGGAAUUCAUGGUGUAGCAGUGAAAUGCGUAGAGAUCAUGAGGAAGACCAGUGGCGAAGGCGGGUCUCUGGACAGUUCCUGACACUGAGGCACGAAGUCCAGGGGAGCAAACGGG